GACUUUUCCUCUGGACGGGUUUUGAUGAAUCUCCCUCUUUGUGAUUUGCCAUUAAUGUUGUAACCUCCUCAGACACUAUUCCAUCAGGACAGACUAGACAUGGAGGAAGAAGAUGAACUCUCCUCUCCUCUUGUGUUUUGUUUCUCUAUAGAGCUUCAGGCCUGUGAUUUCCCCUCCGAACCCCCUUCUAUCCCAACCUUCAUCCCCUGUUCCCUCUUCUCACCACUCGUGGCUUCUGGUAUUACCUGGAUAACAUGGACGGUGGAUUCCUGUCUCCAUAUUCUACCCAUCCCCCAUGACUCCGCCCCAGACUACGAUGGAUCCCCUGACUAGGUUUCUCCAAUCCAGGAUCCUCUGCUGAUCUCUUCUAUAUAAGAGAAUUCUCCUGGAUGACCCAUCAACCAUGGAGAGAGACAGGAACAAGAUGGCCGACAGGAUCAUAAACCUCACCCUACAGAUACUCUUCCUGCUUACUGGAGAGGAUUACACAGUAGUGAAGAAGUCCUCUAGUGGGCGCUGUCAGGCCCCUGUG